CAACUGUAAUAUUGCUGAGGAGAUAAGUGCUUCCUCUUUAAUGUAGGUCAUCGCACUUCACAAAGUGAAUGUCAAAAGAUGUUUCUGUUUUUCAGAAGCAAGUUACUGAAAGAAGGAAGACAGAGCUUUGUUUAUACCAGUCACUUGUCCUGAGAGGCCUCAGCUGUUCAGUUGACUUCUGUUUGGAUUUGAAACUAACAAGAAGGCUGUGCCUCUUAAUUCCUAAUUUUCUUUUGCAUGGUAACACGCGAAGACUCUAGCCUUCUCUUGACUUAGCAUGGAUGGAUGCAGGAGGGCAGGAUUCUGGGACUUUUUUUGAUGCUGAUAACUUUCACUUGAUUUUAGCACUGCUGGCUUCCUGUGAUGCCUAGACUACAC
ensembl:lncRNA